rnacentral:lncRNA from 1 species
GAGGUAGCUUUGGAAUCAUCGUAGGACAACUGUCCCGGAUCAGCUGAGCCCUGCGUGCUGGGAGAGGACGCAGCCAGCCCUGGAUGUAGGGGUGAAGGAGGAGGGAGGUGGCAGACAGCACGUUGCCCAGCACCACAGUGACAUGGGAUUUUGUCCCACGCUAAAGGCUUUGAAAGUGGUUCUUGGUGCCAAGUACUAAUUAAAUAUGAAUCAUGACAAAAUUUUAUCCAGGCAGAGAACGGAAAGAAGAGCUGAUGAUUGUGCUCUCAGAUUUAUUUUUCCUAGUCCACCCA